rnacentral:piRNA from 1 species
CCAAGUUGUUGACUUAGGAUGUAUCUUUGU